rnacentral:rRNA from 1 species
GUGCCAGCAGCCGCGGUAAUACGGAAGGUCCUGGCGUUAUCCGGAUUUAUUGGGUUUAAAGGGAGCGCAGGCGGGAGGUUAAGCGUGCCGUGAAAUGUACCGGCUCAACCGGUGAGUUGCGGCGCGAACUGGCUUUCUUGAGUGCGUACGAGGAAGGCGGAAUUCGUGGUGUAGCGGUGAAAUGCUUAGAUAUCACGAAGAACUCCGAUUGCGCAGGCAGCCUUCCAGUCCGUUACUGACGCUAAAGCUCGAAGGUGCGGGUAUCGAACAGGAUUAGAUACCCUGGUAGUCCGCACGGUAAACGAUGGAUGCCCGCUGUCGGCGAUACAAUGUCGGUGGCCAAGCGAAAGCGUUAAGCAUCCCACCUGGGGAGUACGCCGGCAACGGUGAAACUCAAAGGAAUUGACGGGGGCCCGCACAAGCGGAGGAACAUGUGGUUUAAUUCGAUGAUACGCGAGGAACCUUACCCGGGCUUGAACUGCAGCAGACGGAUCUAGAGAUAGUGACUCCCUUCGGGGCUGCUGUGGAGGUGCUGCAUGGUUGUCGUCAGCUCGUGCCGUGAGGUGUCGGCUUAAGUGCCAUAACGAGCGCAACCCUUGCUGUCAGUUGCCAUCAGGUAGAGCUGGGCACUCUGAGAGGACUGCCACCGUAAGGUGUGAGGAAGGUGGGGAUGACGUCAAAUCAGCACGGCCCUUACGUCCGGGGCUACACACGUGUUACAAUGGGUGGUACAGAGAGUCGGGGGCAUGCAAAUGCCCUCCAAUCAUGAAAGCCAUCCUCAGUUCGGAUUGGGGUCUGCAACCCGACCCCAUGAAGCUGGAUUCGCUAGUAAUCGCGCAUCAGCCAUGGCGCGGUGAAUACGUUCCCGGGCCUUGUACACACCGCCCGU